rfam:Gossypium raimondii Chr10_contig_22, whole genome shotgun sequence.
UGUUAAAAUUUUCAUCCAGUUUUACUGUUAAAAACUGGCAUGACUAACAGAAUAAUCAAACAGUGACAAGUGGUGUAUCAUGCGUACCUCAUGCCGACGUACAUAAACCAAUUUUUAACCGAAGAAAUGGAUGUAAUUUUUAACA